UACGAAGGGUGCAAGCGUUAAUCGGAAUUACUGGGCGUAAAGCGUGCGCAGGCGGUCUGUUAAGACCGAUGUGAAAUCCCCGGGCUUAACCUGGGAACUGCAUUGGUGACUGGCAGGCUUUGAGUGUGGCAGAGGGAGGUAGAAUUCCACGUGUAGCAGUGAAAUGCGUAGAGAUGUGGAGGAAUACCGAUGGCGAAGGCAGCCUCCUGGGCCAACACUGACGCUCAUGCACGAAAGCGUGGGGAGCAAACAGG
rnacentral:rRNA from 1 species